UCUUAAGCUUUACCCGCCCAACACCCAUGCCCAUUUCAUUGCCUAUCAAAUGGCGGGUCUCCACCAUUUACCCGGAUAACAAAUUCUUCUCCCAAUUCUUUUUAGGAUCUGUUUGUAUUUACUGUUUGCAACUUUGCAUCUCCACAUCCAGUUUCUUGCUAGGGCUCUAGAAGACAUGAUUGAAGAAGUCAUUGAGCAAAGGAAUCCCGCAAGAAGAAAUGCAGCUGAUAUGUAGGAUAUCAUACAAAAAUCAUCCACUUUUGAAUGAUAAUCGUUUGCAUCAUACAACCCGCCGUCAAAAUGAGUUAUCAAAGAAGCACCUUUUCUUGUUUCAACCGUGGCACCAAAUACAGACCCGACUGCAGUAGCUAGUAUUGUCAAGCAUAUCUGAAAAAUAGGUACCAAAAAGUGAUCCUGCAUGAACUGAUUAUAACACUGGGAGUGUGUAAGUUCAAGUUCUAUUUCAUUACCAGAUGCUUAAUUUGACUAAUAUUGAUUAUGUUACACAAUAUCCGAAUUCAUUAUCUCAAACGUUAGUUGUGUGAUU